UACGGAGGGUGCAAGCGUUAUCCGGAUUCACUGGGUUUAAAGGGUGCGUAGGAGGGCAGGUAAGUCAGUGGUGAAAUCUCCGAGCUUAACUUGGAAACUGCCGUUGAUACUAUCUGCCUUGAAUAUUGUGGAGGUGAGCGGAAUAUGUCAUGUAGCGGUGAAAUGCUUAGAUAUGUCAUAGAACACCGAUUGCGAAGGCAGCUGGCUAGACCUUUAUUGACGCUGAGGCACGAAAGCGUGGGGAGCAAACAGG
rnacentral:rRNA from 1 species